UACGUAGGGGGCAAGCGGUUGUCCGGAAUCAUUGGGCGUAAAGAGCGUGUAGGCGGCCCGGUAAGUCCGCUGUAAAAGUCAAAGGCUUAACCUUUGAAUGUCAGUGGAUACUGCCGGGCUAGAGUCCGGAAGAGGCGAGUGGAACUCCUGGUGUAGCGGUGGAAUGCGCAGAUAUCAGGAAGAACACCAACGGCGAAGGCAGCUCGCUAGGACGGUACUGACGCUGAGACGCGAAAGCGUGGGGAGCGAACAGG
rnacentral:rRNA from 1 species